GGAAUAUUGCGCAAUGGCCUCAAGGCUGACGCAGCGACGCCGCGUGUGGGAUGACGGCCUUCGGGUUGUAAACCACUGUCGGGAGGGACGAAUACCCGGCGGCGACUAGCCGACCGGGGGCUACGGUACCCCCAAAGGAAGCACCGGCCCACUCCGUGCCAGCAGCCGCGGUAAUACGGAGGGUGCAAGCGUUGUCCGGAAUCACUGGGCGUAAAGGGCGCGUAGGCGGCGCGGUAAGUCCAUUGUGAAAUCCCGGGGCUCAACUCCGGGGCUGCAGUGGAGACUGUCGUGCUCGAGUACAGUAGGGGCGAGCGGAAUUCCCGGUGUAGCGGUGGAAUGCGUAGAUAUCGGGAAGAACACCAGUAGCGAAGGCGGCUCGCUGGGCUGUUACUGACGCUGAGGCGCGAAAGCGUGGGGAGCA
rnacentral:rRNA from 1 species